rnacentral:rRNA from 1 species
AUGAAAGAAGGAUCUGCCCAGGUUGUAGAAUCCUUCAUCGCUAGGAGAGAAGGACAACAUGGCGGCUCCCAAGAACAAAUAGGAGAAGAGAAGAGGCUUAGAGAUCACAAAAAAGACAAUAAAAAAAGUAGAUCAAAGACCAGGCAGGAUCUUCUUCUUCCUCACGAAAGAAGGAUCUGCCCAGUUUGCGGGACCUUCAUCGCCAGAACAAAAGAACAAGAGAAGAGAAGAGGGCUUAGAAAUCAGAGAGAAGACCAGAAAAAGCCAGAUCAGAAGAGAGGAGGGACGAAAAAGAAAACCUACCUCUAG